rnacentral:rRNA from 1 species
ACGGGAGGCAGCAGUGGGGGAUAUUGCACAAUGGGGGGAACCCUGAUGCAGCGACGCCGCGUGAGUGAAGAAGUAUUUCGGUAUGUAAAGCUCUAUCAGCAGGGAAGAAGAUGACGGUACCUGCAUAAGAAGCCCCGGCUAACUACGUGCCAGCAGCCGCGGUAAUACGUAGGGGGCAAGCGUUAUCCGGAUUUACUGGGUGUAAAGGGAGCGUAGACGGUUAUGCAAGUCUGAUGUGAAAGGCUGGGGCUCAACCCCGGGACUGCAUUGGAAACUGUGUAACUGGAGUGCCGGAGGGGUAAGCGGAAUUCCUAGUGUAGCGGUGAAAUGCGUAGAUAUUAGGAGGAACACCAGUGGCGAAGGCGGCUUACUGGACGGUAACUGACGUUGAGGCUCGAAAGCGUGGGUAUCAAACAGGAUUAGAUACCCUGGUA